CCUACGGGAGGCAGCAGUGGGGAAUUUUGGACAAUGGGGGCAACCCUGAUCCAGCAAUGCCGCGUGAGUGAAGAAGGCCUUCGGGUUGUAAAGCUCUUUUGUCAGGGAAGAAACGGUAGUAGCGAAUAACUAUUACUAAUGACGGUACCUGAAGAAUAAGCACCGGCUAACUACGUGCCAGCAGCCGCGGUAAU
rnacentral:rRNA from 1 species